GGGAGGACUUUGCCGGGAGGUUAGCACUCUCCUGUUACUGUGAACGUGCUUCACGCAGGGUGAAUCCGGAGAAGCGGCGCUUUUCCUGGCUGCCAGUCUUGUGCCGGACGCUGACGUUCUGUCCUGAUGGAUUGGCGCCUUAGGGAACCAGUUCAGGGCAGGAAUGCAGCAGACUUAACCUUUGAUGCCGGUGCUUUCAGGGUCGCGGAACCGAGAAAGGCAUGAGAUCAACUGUCUGUCAGGCAGGCUCUCAUUUUCCGGGCGUCCUCCC
rnacentral:SRP_RNA from 1 species